CUCUCCCUCGCUCUUUCCAGGCGGCUAGGGCUGCCGCCGUCGGAGGUGCCACUGGUUCGCCGGCCGCUGCAGUCCCAUCUCCCCUUCCCUCUCCCAGGAUCCUAGGCGGGCACGCCACCCCCUCUCCCCUCUCUUACCUCGUUUCUCCCAUCUUCCUCAAAGAGGAGGAGAGGACGCAACUGGGGCGAUUCAGCGGAGUUGAGGCCGGAGCGGUGGAUCGGAGUUUGCGUCGCGGGAUGGAAGGAAGACGAGCCGCAGGUGCACUCGCUGUCGCCCCGAGCGCUUGUCCUAGGUCAUCUUUGCCUCCUCCCCGCAGCCCCGCCCCCCUGGCUGCCGCCUGGAGCACCUGGCCUUGGUCGUCGUUGCAGCUCCCCAUGGCCCCGCUCCACCACUCCACCACCGUGUUCGCCAUGACUAGUGUCUCUACAGGUCGUUGUUACUGCUGCUCUUCUUCCGUCAGGCAGAAAGGUAGCUAAAUGCAGCAAGCAGGCAAAUUGCAUUGCUGGUAUUACCCCAAAAAAAUUACUUUUGGUGGAUCAAGUAGGUGUUGAAUCUGGAAAUCAGGUACACACAACUCCAGUUUUUUUUGUUUAGUUAAAUGCCUUGAAGAGUAAAGAUGUAAACUAGGCAUACCUAUACAAUCACCGUACCAUGUCUUAUAUCCAUAACUACAUUACCGAUUCAAAUAUCAAGUAUGUAUCAGGUAGGAGAUCAAUCUAUUUGUUUCCUUUGAUACUCUCUCCCAAACAUGGCCUCACUUCACGUUGCGAAGCCCUAAUGGCGGUGCCGGCACUCCUCCUGUCAAGCAGGCCAUACCCUUGUGUGUCACAGGCUUGUGCCUGACGCUACAGGGAGAUGAGACAUCGGGUGGGAGAAAGAAGCUGUCUUUGGCCGGUUGAGAGGGUCGAUGAGGAUUUCCUUGUACUGAUACAGUAGAGAACACUGCAGAUUCAUAGGGUAAAGCAAACCGGCAGCGUAAAAAUGAUCUCUAUGGAACUAUCAACAUAGGAGAUUUUAUCUGAUUAGGGCAGCUGGACAGAAUCUGAAUUAGGUCAACUGAGCAACCAUUGCUCCCUUGUACCGCGGCAAAAUGAUUGAUGAACUUCUCCUGAAGUGAUGCAUUUUUGAAAUGGUGAAACCUCUUGCAUUACCUGAAUAGCUGAUCACAUCACUUCUGGCAUGAGUACAUCAGUCUCGUGGAUGGCGUCACAGCAUGGCUCGAUUGUGGCGGCACGGUUUGGUUCGAUGGCUGGGCGAGGUCGUUGGGAAAGGAGGCGGACACGGGGAAGGUGGCACGCUCAGUGCCGCUUGACCACGUCAUCCCCACCGAUGCCGAUGAGCUCAGCCUCGGUUGCAGCGGGCUCCUGGCCGUAGCCAUGGACCACCUCGAGCGGAAGCCUGCCGCGGUGGCCGACCUGUGAGGUUCUUGAGGACUACCUAAAGAAUUUUAGAGUCUUGGAGGGGAAGACGACGCCACCCAACAUUGGUAAUAUCUGGAGGACGCAUUAAAAAAAUAUAUCAGUUACAACUGUUUGCGGACCCAUUACUCGGGCAAGGCCGCCGCUGUCACUCGCAUCGUCACACCAACUACAAGCACUGGAUAUGGAUAUGUUGAUAAGGUUGCAGAACGCGUGACUGUACAAGUAGGUGUCGUUAACCUUCUAUUGGAGAAACAUGGAGGAACUGGCUUGCAAGGACAUGCAACAUGGUAAACCACAAUGAUGAUAUUAGCUCAAAAUAAUUCUGCUGGGAGAUCAAAGGAAUGAGAUUUUCGAGUAGGGAUACUGAGUUCUCUUUGCGACGCCAAUGUAUGUUAAAUCUGAAGUACAGCUGGUACAUAUGAACUUGUCCUACUAUGUUGAGCAAUGUAUCUUCUCCACAAGCUUUCAUAGUCAGCAGAUUUAAUGAUUCAAUUGAAUAAGCUAGAUAUGUCUACUGACAAAAAUAAA